GACGAACGCUGGCGGCGUGCUUAACACAUGCAAGUCGAACGGUGAAGCGCCUUCCUUUUUGGUGGGUGUGGAUGAGUGGCGAACGGGUGAGUAACACGUGAGUAACCUGCCCCCUUCUUCUGGAUAACCGCAUGAAAGUGUGGCUAAUACGGGAUAUUCUGGUUCUGUCGCAUGAUGGGUCUGGGAAAGAUAUUGUUUCGGUGGGGGAUGGGCCCGCGGCCUAUCAGCUUGUUGGUGGGGUGAUGGCCUACCAGGGCGGUGACGGCUAGCCGGCCUGAGAGGGUGGACGGUCACACAGGGAGUGAGACACGGCCCAGACUCGUACGGGAGGCAGCAGGGGGGAAUAUUGCACAAUGGGCGCAAGCCUGAUGCAGCGACGCCGCGUGAGGGAUGGAGGCCUUCGGGUUGUGAACCUCUUUCGCCAGUGAAGCAGGCCUGCCUCGUUUGUGGGUGGGUUGACGGUGGCUGGAUAAGAAGCGCCGGCUAACUACGUG
rnacentral:rRNA from 1 species